UCCUUCUUAGCUCAGUUGGUAGAGCGCGUCACUAGUAUCGUAUUGCUAUGACGAGGUCAGUCGUUCAAGUCGGCUAGAAGGAA